UUGGCAUCAGGUGAUAAGUUA
rnacentral:siRNA from 1 species